rnacentral:rRNA from 1 species
CCUACGGGGGGCUGCAGUGGGGAAUAUUGAACAAUGGGGGAAACCCUGAUGCAGCGACGCCGCGUGAAGGAAGAAGGUUUUCGGAUCGUAAACUUCUAUCAGCAGGGAAGAAGAAAGUGACGGUACCUUAGGAGGAAGCCCCGGCUAACUACGUGCCAGCAGCCGCGGUAAUACGUAGGGGGCGAGCGUUAUCCGGAAUCACUGGGCGUAAAGGGUGCGUAGGCGGCUAAGUAAGCCAGGGGUGAAAGGCUACGGCUCAACCGUAGUAAGCCUUUGAAACUGUAGGGCUUGAGUGCAGGAGAGGAGAGUGGAAUUCCCAGUGUAGCGGUGAAAUGCGUAGAUAUUGGGAGGAACACCAGUUGCGAAGGCGGCUCUCUGGACUGUAACUGACGCUGAGGCACGAAAGCGUGGGGAGCGAACAGGAUUAGAUACCCCUGUAGUC